rnacentral:rRNA from 1 species
GUGAACGCUGGCGGCAGGCCUAACACAUGCAAGUCGAGCGGCAGCGGGUCCUUCGGGAUGCCGGCGAGCGGCGGACGGGUGAGGAAUGCAUCGGAAUCUGCCCUGUCGUGGGGGAUAACCUAGGGAAACUUAGGCUAAUACCGCAUACGACCCACGGGUGAAAGCGGGGGAUCGCAAGACCUCGCGCGAUAGGAUGAGCCGAUGUCCGAUUAGCUAGUUGGCGGGGUAAAGGCCCACCAAGGCGACGAUCGGUAGCUGGUCUGAGAGGAUGAUCAGCCACACUGGGACUGAGACACGGCCCAGACUCCUACGGGAGGCAGCAGUGGGGAAUAUUGGACAAUGGGCGCAAGCCUGAUCCAGCCAUGCCGCGUGGGUGAAGAAGGCCUUCGGGUUGUAAAGCCCUUUUGUCCGGGAAGAAAUCGUCUGGGCUAAUACCCCGGGCGGAUGACGGUACCGGAAGAAUAAGCACCGGCUAACUUCGUG